GCUACAGGCUUAACACAUGCAAGUCGAGGGGCAGCAUGAACUUAGCUUGCUAAGUUUGAUGGCGACCGGCGCACGGGUGAGUAACACGUAUCCAACCUGCCGAUGACUCGGGGAUAGCCUUUCGAAAGAAAGAUUAAUACCCGAUGGCAUAAUUCUUCCGCAUGGUAGAACUAUUAAAGAAUUUCGAUCAUCGAUGGGGAUGCGUUCCAUUAGGUUGUUGGCGGGGUAACGGCCCACCAAGCCUUCGAUGGAUAGGGGUUCUGAGAGGAAGGUCCCCCACAUUGGAACUGAGACACGGUCCAAACUCCUACGGGAGGCAGCAGUGAGGAAUAUUGGUCAAUGGACGAGAGUCUGAACCAGCCAAGUAGCGUGAAGGAUGACUGCCCUAUGGGUUGUAAACUUCUUUUAUACGGGAAUAAAGUGAGGCACGUGUGCCUUUUUGUAUGUACCGUAUGAAUAAGGAUCGGCUAACUCCGUGCCAGCAGCCGCGGUAAUACGGAGGAUCCGAGCGUUAUCCGGAUUUAUUGGGUUUAAAGGGAGCGUAGGCGGACGCUUAAGUCAGUUGUGAAAGUUUGCGGCUCAACCGUAAAAUUGCAGUUGAUACUGGGUGUCUUGAGUACAGUAGAGGCAGGCGGAAUUCGUGGUGUAGCGGUGAAAUGCUUAGAUAUCACGAAGAACUCCGAUUGCGAAGGCAGCUUGCUGGACUGUAACUGACGCUGAUGCUCGAAAGUGUGGGUAUCAAACAGGAUUAGAUACCCUGGUAGUCCACACAGUAAACGAUGAAUACUCGCUGUUUGCGAUAUACAGUAAGCGGCCAAGCGAAAGCGUUAAGUAUUCCACCUGGGGAGUACGCCGGCAACGGUGAAACUCAAAGGAAUUGACGGGGGCCCGCACAAGCGGAGGAACAUGUGGUUUAAUUCGAUGAUACGCGAGGAACCUUACCCGGGCUUGAAUUGCAACUGAAUGAUGUGGAGACAUGUCAGCCGCAAGGCAGUUGUGAAGGUGCUGCAUGGUUGUCGUCAGCUCGUGCCGUGAGGUGUCGGCUUAAGUGCCAUAACGAGCGCAACCCUUAACGAUAGUUACCAUCAGGUUAUGCUGGGGACUCUGUCGAGACUGCCGUCGUAAGAUGUGAGGAAGGUGGGGAUGA
rnacentral:rRNA from 1 species